GGAGACGUCGCAUAGUCUGGUCUAGUGCGCAUCCCUGCUAAGGAUGUGAAGGGGCAACCCUUCCGUGGGUUCAAAUCCCACCGUCUCCGCCA
rnacentral:tRNA from 2 species